UACAGAGGUCGCAAGCGUUGUUCGGAAUUACUGGGCGUAAAGCGCGCGUAGGCGGCUCUGCAAGUCGGGUGUGAAAUCCCCAGGCUUAACCUGGGAACUGCAUUCGAGACUGCAUUGCUAGAGUAUGGGAGAGGGAAGUGGAAUUUCCGGUGUAGCGGUGAAAUGCGUAGAUAUCGGAAGGAACAUCAGUGGCGAAAGCGACUUCCUGGACCAAUACUGACGCUCAUGUGCGAAAGCGUGGGGAGCAAACAGG
rnacentral:rRNA from 1 species